AUUGAACGAUGGCGGCAUGCUUUACACAUGCAAGUCGAACGGUAACAGGGUGCUUGCACCGCUGACGAGUGGCGAACGGGUGAGUAAUGCGUCGGAACGUGCCGAGUAGUGGGGGAUAACGCAGCGAAAGUUGUGCUAAUACCGCAUACGUACUGAGGUAGAAAGUGGGGGACCUUCGGGCCUCACGCUAUUCGAGCGGCCGACGUCUGAUUAGCUAGUAGGUGAGGUAAAGGCUCACCUAGGCGACGAUCAGUAGCGGGUCUGAGAGGAUGAUCCGCCACACUGGGACUGAGACACGGCCCAGACUCCUACGGGAGGCAGCAGUGGGGAAUUUUGGACAAUGGGCGAAAGCCUGAUCCAGCCAUGCGGCGUGUCUGAAGAAGGCCUUCGGGUUGUAAAGGACUUUUGUCAGGGAGGAAAUCCCUAGUGCUAAUAACACUGGGGGAUGACAGUACCUGAAGAAUAAGCACCGGCUAACUACGUGCCAGCCGCCGCAGUAA
rnacentral:rRNA from 1 species